AUGCUCUGGGCAGCGCCUGCCGCGCGCGUCCUCGGGCUCCGCGGGGCCCAGCCCUCCAGGUGUCCUGCUUAGCGCCGCCGUGCCCGCCAUUUUCACCCGUUUCGGGCCGCUGCGCCGCAGCCGGGGGCAAGCAGGGAAUCGAAACUUGGG